UACGGGAGGCAGCAGUGGGGAAUAUUGCACAAUGGGCGAAAGCCUGAUGCAGCUAUGCCGCGUGUAUGAAGAAGGCCUUAGGGUUGUAAAGUACUUUCAUCGGGGAGGAAAAACAAAACUAAUAAUUUUAUUUCUUGACGUUACCCGAAAAAGAAGCACCGGCUAACUCCGUGCCAGCAGCCGCGGUAAUACGGAGGGUGCUAGCGUUAAUCAGAAUUACUGGGCGUAAAGAGCACGUAGGUGGUUUUUUUAAAGUCAGAUGUGAAAUCCCUGGGCUUAACCUAGGAACUGCAUUUUGAAACUGAAAUACUAGAGUAUCGUAGAGGGAGGUAGAAUUCUAGGUGUAGCGGUGAAAUGCGUAGAUAUCUGGAGGAAUACCUGUGGCGAAAGCGGCCUCCUAAACGAAUACUGACACUGAGGUGCGAAAGCGUGGGGAGCAAACAGGAUUAGAUACCCGU
rnacentral:rRNA from 1 species